UACGUCAACAUCCUUAACGAAUUUAACCCAUUCUAACCUAUUGACCAUCGACUUUGAUAACCGUAAGCACGCUUUCGGCACCAGAGCAACGAUCAGAGAUCAGACAGGUAGCCCCGAAGGGUAUCCGUUGCAAUCCUCAAUCCCGAUCAUCACAUCUGCCGAAGGCUAUGACACUUCAAUCGAAAUCGAAGCUACAUUCCUCCAGCCAUUUUAUGAUAAUCAAAAUUGAUGUUAACUAACCACACAGGCAAGUACACCCAAAGUACACGAAUAUGCAGGCAUGAAGGCGUUUAACUCCUCACACUCCCAGAAUCAUGCCCAAAAGGCUGAUUACCCGCAGGUACGACUGGCUUCAAUCGUUUCCCUUUCAACAAUUUCACGUACUGUUUAACUCUCUUUUCAAAGUUCUUUUCAUCUUUCCCUCACGGUACUUGUUCGCUACCGGUCUCUCGCCGUUAUUUAGCCUUAGGAGAAAUUUACCUCCCAUUUUAAGCUGCAAUCCCAAACAACUUGACUCUUUGAAAGCGUAUCGUAAAGCGAAUCUGAUCAACCGAACGGGAUUCUCACCCUCCGUGAUGCCUUAUCCCAAAGGACUUGGACUGAUCAGAAACACAGAAAACGCCUCUUCAAAUUACAACUCGGUCAGGUAGAACCCGACAGAUUUAAAAUUUGAGCUUGUCCCUCUCCACUCGCAGUUACUAGGGGAAUCAUUGCUAUUUUCUUUUCCUCCGCUUAUUGAUAUCG
rnacentral:rRNA from 1 species